GAAUUCGAUCCAGACUCAAGAUGAAUGUUGGCGGCACACUUAACACAUGCAAGUUGGACGGGAAGUGGUAUUUCCCGUGGUGGACGGUGAGUAACGUGUAAGAACCAACUGGAAACAGCUGCUAAUACCCCGUAGGCUGAGGAGCGGCUCACAUCUGAUUAGCUAGUUGGUGAGGCAAUAGUUUACCGAGGCGAUGAUCUGGCCUGAGAGGAUGAUCAGCCACACUGGGACUAAGACACGGCCCAUACUCCUAUGGGAGGCAGCAAUGGGGAAUUUUCCACAAUGGGCAAAAGCCUGACAAAGCAAUGCUGGGUGGAGGUAGAAGGCCCAUGGGUCGUGAACUUAUUUUCCCAGAGAAGAAGCAAUGACGGUAUCCGAGGAAUAAGCAUCAGCUAACUCUGUGCCAGCAGUCGCGGUAAGACAGAGGAUGCGAGCGUUAUCC
rnacentral:ncRNA from 1 species